rnacentral:rRNA from 1 species
UACGUAGGGUGCAAGCGUUGUCCGGAUUUAUUGGGCGUAAAGAGCGUGUAGGCGGCUUUACAGGUCCGUUGUGAAAACUCGAGGCUCAACCUCGAGACGCCGGUGGAAACCGUAAGGCUAGAGUCCGGAAGAGGAGAGUGGAAUUCCUGGUGUAGCGGUGAAAUGCGCAGAUAUCAGGAAGAACACCCGUGGCGAAGGCGGCUCUCUGGGACGGUACUGACGCUGAGACGCGAAAGCGUGGGGAGCGAACAGG